CAGCAGCCACGGGAAUACGAAGGGGGCUAGCGUUGUUCGGAUUUACUGGGCGUAAAGGGUGCGUAGGCGGAUUGUUAAGUCAGGGGUGAAAUCCCGAGGCUCAACCUCGGAACUGCCUUUGAUACUGGCGAUCUUGAGUCCGGGAGAGGUGAGUGGAACUGCGAGUGUAGAGGUGAAAUUCGUAGAUAUUCGCAAGAACACCGGUGGCGAAGGCGGCUCACUGGCCCGGAACUGACGCUGAGGCACGAAAGCGUGGGGAGCAAACAGGAUUAGAUACCCCGGUAGUCCCUGUCUCUUAUAA
rnacentral:rRNA from 1 species